rnacentral:rRNA from 1 species
UUAAGCAUAUCACUAAGCGGAGGAAAAGAAACUAACCAGGAUUCCCCCAGUAACUGCGAGUGAAGGGGGAUUAGCCCAGCACCGAAGCCUGUGGUUAUUUAACUGCUAGGCAAUGUGGUGUUUAGGUUGGUUCUUAGUUUUACUGCUCUACCCCAAGUCCAGCAAUGAGUACGGCAAACUGGAAUGGCCCACAGAGGGUGAAAGGCCCGUGGGGGUGGAGAUCAGUUGGGACAGUAUUACUCUGAACUUACCUUGGAGUCGGGUUGUUUGUGAAUGCAGCCCAAAGUGGGUGGUAAACUCCAUCCAAGGCUAAAUACUAACACGAGUCCGAUAGCGAACAAGUACCGUGAGGGAAAGUUGAAAAGUACUUUGAAGAGAGAGUAAACAGUGCGUGAAACCGCUCAGAGGUAAACGGGUGGAGUUGAACUGAAAACCCUGGGGAUUCAGCUAAUGAGUAUGGCAUGUGCUUGGACAUAAUGGUCGGCAAUUGGAGUCUGAGUCAAUUUUCAGGUCCUUAUUCUUUGAAUAGGGAUGUGCGGUACGCUUAUCAAGUGUUGUGCGCUCCAAUUUGUCCGGGUCUGCUCGUUAGUGCACUUUCUCAGGGUGAUCACCACGACCGGCGCUGCUGUCUAUCUGUUAUGGUUAAACCGGUCAGAUUUGGCCUUAUUGGCUGUAUUUGGUCGGGACGGCAGGUAACUCAGCUAUUCGAGUUUACUUGAAUUUCUGAGUGUAAUCAGCUGACCAUUGUGGAUUUGUGCGGUGCGUCGGAGAUUGCGGCUGGUAUGUGCGUAGUGCUGUGCAGGCAACUGGAAUGAGUUUGAUCGGCAUGUUUACCGGCUUUGGUUGGUCUGUCGGUGGCUUGCUCCAGUUUGUUUGUCGGUAGCUAUAGAGAUACUUUAUGGGCCUACAGUCUGUGGUGUAGUGGUAGACUAUCCACCCGACCCGUCUUGAAACACGGACCAAGGAGUUUAACAUGUACGCGAGUCAUUGGGCGUUACGAAACCCAUAGGCGUAGUGAAAGUAAAAGGUCGGCUUGUCUGAUCUAAGGUGAGAUCCUGCUGCCUCCUAUUUUUGGAUUACCAAGAAAAAUGGGCGGUGGGCGCAUCACCAGCCCGUCUCAUGGCGUAGUCAUAUGACCUAGUUGUAUGCACCGUCGGGGCGGAGCUAGAGCGUACACGUUGAGACCCGAAAGAUGGUGAA